rnacentral:rRNA from 1 species
UACGUAGGGUGCGAGCGUUGUCCGGAAUUAUUGGGCGUAAAGAGCUUGUAGGCGGUUUGUCGCGUCUGCCGUGAAAAUCCGAGGCUCAACCUCGGACUUGCGGUGGGUACGGGCAGACUAGAGUGUGGUAGGGGAGACUGGAAUUCCUGGUGUAGCGGUGAAAUGCGCAGAUAUCAGGAAGAACACCGAUGGCGAAGGCAGGUCUCUGGGCCAUAACUGACGCUGAGAAGCGAAAGCGUGGGGAGCGAACAGG